GGCUUGAUAGUGUAGUGGUUAGCAUGUCUGCUUUACACACAGAAGGUCCUGGGUUCGGGCCCCAGGUGGAGCCA
rnacentral:tRNA from 1 species